GACGAACGCUGGCGGCGUGCUUAACACAUGCAAGUCGUACGGUAAGGCCCUUUCGUGGGUACACGAGUGGCGAACGGGUGAGUAACACGUGCGUAACCUUCCCACAACUUUGGGAUAACGCUAGGAAACUGGUGCUAAUACUGGAUAUGUGCUCCUUCUUCAUGGGGGGGGUUGGAAAGCUCCGGCGGUUGUGGAUGUACUCGCGGCCUAUCGGCUUGUUGGUGGGGUAGUGGCUUACCAAGGCGGCGACGGGUAGCCGGACUGAGAGGGUGACCGGCCACAUUGGGACUGAGAUACGGCCCAGACUCCGACGGGAGGCAGCAGUGGGGAAGAUUGAACAAUGGGCGCAAGCCUGAUGCAGCAACGCCGCGUGCGGGAUGACGGCCUUCGGGUUGUAAAACGAUUUCAGCAGGGACGAAGCUUUUUGUGACGGUACCUGCAGAAGAAGCACCGGCUAACUACGUG
rnacentral:rRNA from 1 species